rnacentral:rRNA from 1 species
AUUGAACGCUGGCGGCAUGCUUUACACAUGCAAGUCGAACGGUAACAGGGUGCUUGCACCGCUGACGAGUGGCGAACGGGUGAGUAAUGCGUCGGAACGUGCCGAGUAGUGGGGGAUAACGCAGCGAAAGUUGUGCUAAUACCGCAUACGUACUGAGGUAGAAAGUGGGGGACCUUCGGGCCUCACGCUAUUCGAGCGGCCGACGUCUGAUUAGCUAGUAGGUGAGGUAAAGGUUCACCUAGGCGACGAUCAGUAGCGGGUCUGAGAGGAUGAUCCGCCACACUGGGACUGAGACACGGCCCAGAAUCCUACGGGAGGCAGCAGUGGGGAAUUUUGGACAAUGGGCGAAAGCCUGAUCCAGCCAUGCCGCGUGUCUGAAGAAGGCCUUCGGGUUGUAAAGGACUUUUGUCAGGGAGGAAAUCCCUAGUGCUAAUAACACUGGGGGAUGACAGUACCUGAAGAAUAAGCACCGGCUAACUACGUGCCAGCCGCCUCCGUAA